rnacentral:rRNA from 1 species
AACGAACGCUGGCGGCAGGCUUAAUACAUGCAAGUCGAGCGGGCACUUCGGCGUCAGCGGCGCACGGGUGCGUAACGCGUGGGAACAUGCCCUUAGGUACGGAACAACACAGGGAAGCUUGUGCUAAUACCGUAUAAUAUCUCCGGAUCAAAGAUUUAUCGCCUAAGGAUUGGCCCGCGUUAGAUUAGGUAGUUGGUGGGGUAAUGGCCUACCAAGCCGACGAUCUAUAGCUGGUCUGAGAGGAUGAUCAGCCACACUGGAACUGAGACACGGUCCAGACUCCUACGGGAGGCAGCAGUAAGGAAUAUUGGACAAUGGGCGAAAGCCUGAUCCAGCCAUGCCGCGUGAGUGAUGAAGGCCUUAGGGUUGUAAAGCUCUUUUAGAUGGGAAGAUAAUGACUGUACCAUCAGAAUAAGCCCCGGCUAAAUUCGUGCCAGCCGCCGCAGUAA